GGGUCAUCGAUACAACAUAAAGACAACUGCUACAAAGGGUUGUGUUUCUACUGCCCAGUUCAUACAGGAAAACUGAACAUGGCAUGAGACUGAGUACGCAUUACAUUUACAGCAGUACAGUAAUAUAAUAUAAGAAGGCCUUCAGGUGCCUAAUCUUGACGGUAGCAACACCCCAGUAGACCGAGCUUAAAUUUGGUGACCAUGUUGCUCCAGUGUGUUCAAGGGCCGUCUUGUUAUGCUGAUGAAUGAAAAGGAGAAUUCAGAAUCGAAUUGUAUGAAACCAAAGAAGUAAAAAGCAAUACCAGUAGGCACAUACAGCGAGCGCUUGGAGACAGAGAAAAAGAGAUUUACUGCUUAAAACCCUAACCUGCUAAGAUUUCUCGCAUCAGAGGUUCACUGUAUUUUUCCACAUCGACAUGGAUAAACUUCUUUCCUAAGAGAUAUUGAACUCUCUUGAAGCACCACUAUGGAUACUAUGUCUUCGAUUCUGGAUCUAUCUUAGGGACAAGUUGUUGUGUCAUCUCAGUGAAAAUUGUGUUGACAACUUUCGGAGACCGACAGAAGACCCGAUAGUAAUUAUAUCCCUUCUUUGAAAGUUGAAACUAUCAUAGAAGUGCAAAUGACAUCCUAGCUCCCUGUAGUAUAAAAGUUAUAACCAGCUUCAGAUAAUUAAAUUAUUUAAAUAGGAUAAUGAGAGUACCUAGAAGUCAUUUGCUGUUCAAAUUGAGUAAGUGGUCAUGCGGCUAGAGAUGUGAUCCUCACAAGAAGAAGGCAAUUUGAGUAAACCAUAGGGAACAUCAAAUGAAGAAUACACGGUCCACUUCCAUGUGACAACUCAAAAUUAAAACCUUCUUCAUUAGGGAAAUAGUACACUGAAAAAA
rnacentral:lncRNA from 1 species